GACGUAGGAUGCAAGCGUUGUCCGGAUUUACUGGGCGUAAAGAGCGCGCAGGCGGCUGGUCAAGUCCGAUGUGAAAUCUCCCGGCUUAACUGGGAAACUGCAUCGGAAACUGAUCGGCUUGAAGGUGGGAGAGGGUAGUGGAAUUCCCGGUGUAGUGGUGAAAUGCGUAGAUAUCGGGAGGAACACCAGUGGCGAAGGCGACUACCUGGCCCAUUCUUGACGCUGAGGCGCGAAAGCUAGGGGAGCGAACGGG
rnacentral:rRNA from 1 species